rnacentral:rRNA from 1 species
GAUGAACGCUGGCGGCGUGCCUAAUACAUGCAAGUCGAGCGAACGGACGAGAAGCUUGCUUCUCUGAUGUUAGCGGCGGACGGGUGAGUAACACGUGGAUAACCUACCUAUAAGACUGGGAUAACUUCGGGAAACCGGAGCUAAUACCGGAUAAUAUUUUGAACCGCAUGGUUCAAAAGUGAAAGACGGUCUUGCUGUCACUUAUAGAUGGAUCCGCGCUGCAUUAGCUAGUUGGUAAGGUAACGGCUUACCAAGGCAACGAUGCAUAGCCGACCUGAGAGGGUGAUCGGCCACACUGGAACUGAGACACGGUCCAGACUCCUACGGGAGGCAGCAGCAGGGAAUCUUCCGCAAUGGGCGAAAGCCUGACGGAGCAACGCCGCGUGAGUGAUGAAGGUCUUCGGAUCGUAAAACUCUGUUAUUAGGGAAGAACAUAUGUGUAAGUAACUGUGCACAUCUUGACGGUACCUAAUCAGAAAGCCACGGCUAACUACGUGCCAGCAGCCGCGGUAAUACGUAGGUGGCAAGCGUUAUCCGGAAUUAUUGGGCGUAAAGCGCGCGUAGGCGGUUUUUUAAGUCUGAUGUGAAAGCCCACGGCUCAACCGUGGAGGGUCAUUGGAAACUGGAAAACUUGAGUGCAGAAGAGGAAAGUGGAAUUCCAUGUGUAGCGGUGAAAUGCGCAGAGAUAUGGAGGAACACCAGUGGCGAAGGCGACUUUCUGGCCUGUAACUGACGCUGAUGUGCGAAAGCGUGGGGAUCAAACAGGAUUAGAUACCCUGGUAGUCCACGCCGUAAACGAUGAGUGCUAAGUGUUAGGGGGUUUCCGCCCCUUAGUGCUGCAGCUAACGCAUUAAGCACUCCGCCUGGGGAGUACGACCGCAAGGUUGAAACUCAAAGGAAUUGACGGGGACCCGCACAAGCGGUGGAGCAUGUGGUUUAAUUCGAAGCAACGCGAAGAACCUUACCAAAUCUUGACAUCCUUUGACAACUCUAGAGAUAGAGCUUUCCCCUUCGGGGGACAAAGUGACAGGUGGUGCAUGGUUGUCGUCAGCUCGUGUCGUGAGAUGUUGGGUUAAGUCCCGCAACGAGCGCAACCCUUAAGCUUAGUUGCCAUCAUUAAGUUGGGCACUCUAAGUUGACUGCCGGUGACAAACCGGAGGAAGGUGGGGAUGACGUCAAAUCAUCAUGCCCCUUAUGAUUUGGGCUACACACGUGCUACAAUGGACAAUACAAAGGGCAGCGAAACCGCGAGGUCAAGCAAAUCCCAUAAAGUUGUUCUCAGUUCGGAUUGUAGUCUGCAACUCGACUACAUGAAGCUGGAAUCGCUAGUAAUCGUAGAUCAGCAUGCUACGGUGAAUACGUUCCCGGGUCU